GAUGAACGCUGGCGGCGUGCCUAAUACAUGCAAGUCGAGCGAACGGACGAGAAGCUUGCUUUUCUGAUGUUAGCGGCGGACGGGUGAGUAACACGUGGAUAACCUACCUAUAAGACUGGGAUAACUUCGGGAAACCGGAGCUAAUACCGGAUAAUAUUUUGAACCGCAUGGUUCAAAAGUGAAAGACGGUCUUGCUGUCACUUAUAGAUGGAUCCGCGCUGCAUUAGCUAGUUGGUAAGGUAACGGCUUACCAAGGCAACUAUGCAUAGCCGACCUGAGAGGGUGAUCGGCCACACUGGAACUGAGACACGGUCCAGACUCCUACGGGAGGCAGCAGUAGGGAAUCUUCCGCAAUGGGCGAAAGCCUGACGGAGCAACGCCGCGUGAGUGAUGAAGGUCUUCGGAUCGUAAAACUCUGUUAUUAGGGAAGAACAUAUGUGUAAGUAACUGUGCACAUCUUGACGGUACCUAAUCAGAAAGCCACGGCUAACUACGUG
rnacentral:rRNA from 1 species